AAAGCUGCUUAAUCAUUCAGACCAGACCCAAGACCUUUCUUCGUUCCUUUUUAUUUUUAUCCUUAAGGACUUCUUUGGUAUCUGACAAGCUUUUGGAGGCUCUUUUUUUUCCGAGCACCCACACCAUCUCAUGUUUCCAGAGGGAUGAAAAAGUUUCUGUACCCCCACUUCACCUUUAGGAUGCUUUCUAGUCACAAUGCACACGGGAAAACCCCUGCCAACUGACAACACACAGCAGCCUCCAGUAACCCAGGUCAGGCUUGAAGACGCUGAAGAAAAUGCCUAUAAGUGAUGAACUGCUUGUCUUUUAAUGCCUGUUGAGACUUCACUGUUACAGAGUUAGAUGACCAGCUAAGAUGUACACAUCUCUGCUGCUGACACACACAUGAGAAGCCCAUCUAUUAAGACAUCUGUAUACCCGG